rnacentral:lncRNA from 1 species
GUAUGGGUUACACCCUUGCUAUGAGUCAAUACGAUGCACGAAAAAUAAUGUGUAUACCAACGCCUUGCAAAAAUUGACAGGAAACAGCGCGGUUGGUAAUGGAAAAGGUUACGGUGGGAGGUUGCAACAAGCCCCAUUACAACGUCAGAGUGACGAACGACGUGGGAAAUAAUUCACUUUCGUACGCUGAUAGACACAUCGCUAUGACGAAUGCCACUUCGACACCGCGCUGAAAAGCACCACCGUGCUAAAACGCCGAGUGGAAGUGUAGGCGGUAACAUUUGAGCGGUUUCUACAUUUAAGGAAUGCAUUUCAUCUUGCGAGCCAUAAAUCUUGGCUAUCGUGACUGGCUGAUAAGGCGCCGGGCUUCUGAAAAUGAGUUACUGUCCCGGUGAAAAUUACAUCAACGCACACGGCGAAAGGUCAUAACGUCAAUCUGCACUCCUUUAGGACACGCACGUAUCCAUAAUUCUCGUGUGUUAGAGCCGGCGCGGUGUUCAUUACUGUCAAGCGCAAAAGGAAAGUGAGGUUACGCGUGAGAGAAACAUUUUCGAAAAAAUGUCUGGAGUGAUAAUCAUGUACGUAAAAGGGUCCGGCUAAAAAUGACCAUGUUGCGAAAAUAUUGUUAAUAUAUCGGUGACAUGAUGACAAGUGAAUAAAUGAUGAUAUCAAUGUGAUACUAGUAUGGCAAUGCUAAUAUGUUACUGACAAGUUACUUGACAUCACGCGGUCACCGUAUGUUCUCACACGUCUUCAGAAUCUUGUGUGGCAACUUGGUGAUUCAAAUGACGGUGCUUUUUUCGGAUCGUCUCCCCCGGCUGGGAAACCAGAUUUUUCAACCGCAGACCACGCCAAAUUCAGUCUCAUCUUGCGCCAGGGAAAACCCCUCCGACCCGGAAUUCGACAUUCUUUGUUGGCUGCGUUCAGUCAAACCGCCAAAUUCUGACGCCCCCUCAAAGUGAUUAUGAUAAGUUACCUUUCACAUUACACCCGCAGAUUUCUAAGCUGAUAUAGAUGAAUUUCUGAAAUUCAAAGCGUUUAUUUAGUCAAAUGGCCUUCGGCGUCUCGUUUUGAAAAAACACGCUGCUGCAACACCUCGUUGUUGUAUUUCGUUGCCAUGUUCCCGGUAACAACCAUGAUAAACAAUCGAUUUUGGUUGAGAAAGCUGUCUUAAAUCGAUUGUUUUACGUGGAGUUAAAUGGGUGAAGCUCACUUUUACUUGAAUUUAUUAUAAAUAAUCAAUUCUAGAUGGGAAAAAUUGUUUCAACGUAUAUCGAUUAUUUUACACGCGGUUAAAUGGGCAAAGCCCUGUCUUGUUUUGGUAACGUGGAACACUCGCUGUCCAGACCUGGGCGCAUGGUGGGGACUCUUACAAGGAAUCGAAUCGAGAGAACAAAAUUAAAAGCGAAAAAAUCUAAACGAACAAAUUACCUCUCUAAUUGCGGUAUCGGAGCGAGAAUAUCAAAAAUUAAUUGGCAGUCGCGAUACGCGAGCCGCUGACAAAUGGAAGGGACCGUGGUCGCGCGCGCGUUUUGAAACGCCGAAAUUAAAAAAAAGAUUAAAAAACGGAGACCGCAGAUAAAUAAAUGACAGGUUUCGGUCAGCACCAAAAUUGGCCGCAGCAGGUAGGUUCCACGGCCAUACUGCUACAAAUCUCAAAAAACUAUUUUAGUUUUGCUUUCUUAAAUUGCGCCGGUGUGUCACAAAUUGGGUCUAAUGUACGCUCAAUGAAUAGACGUAUUUGCGUAAAAUCGCCAGUAACAUACGAGCACGUUAAAAACGUGUGAGGUCUACUCCGUGAC